rnacentral:rRNA from 1 species
CGGGGUGAGUAAUGUAUGGGGAUCGGCCUGAUGGCGGGGGGAUAACUACUGGAAACGGUAGCUAAUACCGCAUAAUGUCUGCGGACCAAAGCGGGGGACCUCCGGGCCUCGCGCCAUCAGAUGAACCCAUAUGGGAUUAGCUAGUAGGUAAGGUAACGGCUUACCUAGGCGACGAUCCCUAGCUGGUCUGAGAGGAUGAUCAGCCACACUGGGACUGAGACACGGCCCAG